AUCUCUGAAGAGUGCCCUUUCAUUAUGCAGUAACAGAAACUUCUUUGUUUUCAGUAACAAGUUGUAGCUCUGUUAAUAUAUGCCAGUGGAUAAGAACCAUCAUUUACUAUCAUGUUUGUUACUUUUGUUUUCCUGUGAUUUGGUGAGUAAAUCUGACUUUACAAAGUAUACUGUUUAACUUCAUAUAAUCAUUUAGCCAAAGAGUUACUAUUUUUAAAAAUAAGGCAAUGAGUGAAAUCUAUUUUCUUUAAAAAUAUUUAAAACUUCAGAAAGUAAUAUAAAGCAAAUCUCAAAUAAAAAUAUAAAAAUAUAAAGCAAAUUUCAAAUCUCAAAGCAGAUAUAAAAACUAACAUCUUAAGUGUUUGUCUCCCUAAAAAUUGCUAAGUUGGAAGACUGAAGUACAAAAGUAAUAUUUUUCAGAAGAGUGGAUAAAAUGGAUGAAAUGGAAGUGCAUGAAAUAGGUGAAUUUUCAAAAAACUCUUCCCAAGCCUCCCAGUUGGUUGCAUUUUCUAAUAUCCAAGACAUCAUGACUGAGAAUGGGCUGUACUUGCUUUUGGAGUUGAUUAGUGGCCUGUUAGAAGCCAAUGGUGACUUCAGAGUGGAAUACCCAGUCCUAAAGGUGCUGUCAUCACUUUUCUCAAAACUAUUGAUGUCAGGACAUUUGUUAAUGUCUGUGAUGGACACCAUAGAGCUCAGCAACUUCAGAUUUUCCCGAGACUUCUGGAACCCACAAGAACCAUUAGGGUUGAAAACCUGCCACCUCAUGUUGAUAGUAAUUAAAUAACAAUUUUCUUUGAAAACCCCCAAAAUGGUGAAGGAGUACCCAAUAUCCAGUAUUUCCCAGAUGAGAGUUCAGCCCCCGUUGAGUUUCCUGACUACAAAGUGGUGGUCACCUACUUGACCAAAAAGCUUGUCUUCAAUGCAAGGCCAAUCUCUGUGUUUCCCUAUCAUGUAUCUUUGGACACAGCCGUCUACAGAAGGAAGAAGCCCCUGAGAAAGUUGCUGGCACCACUUCUGGUGGCCCUGAAUCAUCUCAUAUGGAAGAAUCUUGCAGAGAAAGCAUCACCUGAUUGGAAUGCUGAAUUAUCAAAGGGGGAGGGGUCACUGUGAGGUAACAUGGCCCCAAGUCAGCUGUGAGGGACUGGAAGGUAACACUCAGGUCUGUGGCCACCAAAUUCACUCAAGGGAAAAUAAAGGUCAAUGUCUUCAAGAUCUGGAAAGAAAAUGUUUCUAAAAAAUUCUCUCAGAUUAUGUCUAAAUAUCAAGUCACCAAAUUGAAUGUGAAGCCAGCAGUAUAGAAGGACAUAAAAAACUGCAUGGACGAUGAUAGGAUUUUGAUUGAGUCUGAUACGUUCAAGGAGAUGGUCAUAAUAAUAGGUUGUUCGGAGGAUGUAAAAAGAAUUGUAACACAAUUAAAGACACCAACCAAAACAUCAAAAAGAAAAAACAAGUAUAGACAGAGAAUGUGACUGGUUCUUCUGGGAGGUUUUCUUGUCCUCACAUCCGUGCUUUAAAAGAGUCUAUACCCAAGGGAUUUUCAGGGUGAGAGGUCAUUGAUACCAGACUGCAUGCAGAAGAGUACAAAGUGAAGAAAGAA